AAGUCGUAACAAGGUAACCGUAGGUGAACCUGCGGUUGGAUCAUAUAACAAAAAAUCCAAACCGAGCCUUAGCGCUCACCACAUUCUGUGCACUAUUCUUAAUGUUAAACUGGAUCUUUAAACAAUCCAGGAACGUUCCCUUUUCCCGUAGAAAGGAGAAGGGUUCAUUCACACACAAUAGUUUGAAAUGUCUAAUCUUAUUUAUCCUCUUUAUUUGAGGGUAAUUAUAUAAUAACAUUAAAACAACUUUUGACAACGGAUCUCUUGGCUCUC
rnacentral:misc_RNA from 1 species